rnacentral:rRNA from 1 species
AGCCUCAAGUUAUGUGUGACAACCCCCUGAAUUU